AGGAGCAGGAAAGGAAACUGAGCAGAGCAGUGCAGGUGCUAAGUGAAACCACCAACUUUAAGGACUUCAGUACUGAAAUUUUCACUAUUCUCAACCAAGUGACAAGAAACAAAGUUAACUGAACAAGAAGACAUUACUAUCAGAACCAAUAGCAGAACAUUCAGCAAUCUGGAAUAACUCCUAUUCAAUCAUUCAUUUUGAAAACCCAGACCAAAAUGCUGCGAUGAUGGAUGACUGAAGCAUCCCUGCCAAGUCGUUCUGUGAAUAUGAGUUGCUCUGAAGUCUGAGUGUCCCAUUCUGGGCUCAGAGCAAUUUGUGUCCGCAGCUGUGGUGGUGGUUAGAUAACAGGGAUUGUGUGGGAAAGCAGCCAACUGUCAUUGUCACAGUUUGCUACAAUAGGUAAGGGAGAGAUUUGGGUUCAAAAUACUCUGACCCCUGGAGUAUUCUGACGAAGAUAGGUGAGCCCAGAACACCUGAGGAAUCAAUUGUUCUCAAAGAGCCCUGUGACCUCACUGGAAUGGAGACAAUUGGAUUGUUGAGAUGCAAAUUGACUUUAAAUUUCCGGGACUUUGAAAAUAUCCCUAUUGCCCCAUGACCAAAAGGAGGAGGAGCCUGCUUGCCUGCAAAAGAUAUCUCUCCAUCAUAACAUCUUUACUAAGGACUGAAACAACAUGAGGGCAUCUGACUAACAUCUCC